rnacentral:rRNA from 1 species
UACAGAGGGGGCAAGCGUUGUUCGGAAUUAUUGGGCGUAAAGGGCGCGUAGGCGGCUUGAUGUGUCAAAGGUGAAAUCCCUCGGCUCAACUGAGGAACUGCCUUUGAAACUGUCUGGCUUGAGGCCGGGAGAGGGUAGCGGAAUUCCCAGUGUAGCGGUGAAAUGCGUAGAUACUGGGAGGAACACCGGUGGCGAAGGCGGCUACCUGGACCGGUUCUGACGCUGAUGCGCGAAAGCGUGGGUAGCAAACAGG